rnacentral:rRNA from 1 species
UACGUAGGUGGCGAGCGUUAUCCGGAAUGAUUGGGCGUAAAGGGUGCGUAGGCGGCCUGCUAAGUCUGGUGUAAAAGGCAGUGGCUCAACCAUUGUAUGCAUUGGAAACUGGUAGACUUGAGUGCAGGAGAGGAGAGUGGAAUUCCAUGUGUAGCGGUGAAAUGCGUAGAUAUAUGGAGGAACACCGGUGGCGAAAGCGGCUCUCUGGCCUGUAACUGACACUGAGGCUCGAAAGCGUGGGGAGCAAACAGG